UUUCCAGUGGGUUGCUAUGCCAGAAAUGAGAUUUAAAAUUUAAAUUGUUACUGGGUUACCUUGUUAAUGUUAACACCUAAAAAGUGGUUACCUUCAGCACUAUUGAAUAAUUUUCUACAAUUGUUUUUAUGAUAGAAGUCUUUAAUAUAUAAACUUAUUUCUGUCUUAAAAAUUAAAGGUUGUAAGAGUAUCACAGCACACAGAACACAAAGCUUUUUGCAUAUAUAACAAGGGCUGUAGUGAUGUUUGUAGAUUUAUACCAAGGGAUCUGUUUAUAUAAGGGAAAGCCAAAAGAGGGGGGGGGGCGGUAUUAGGUAUUUUUACCUAAUAAAAUAUAGGUAAUGAACUGGCCUAUGAGACUUCAAUUACAAAUGAGUGGCCAUACUUUUGUUUUUAGUCCUGAAUAUGCUGCUUUUACAGUUUCAGUGAAUGAAAAAACCUAAAUUGCUAUGCCUGCUCCAGGCAUCUGUCCAGAAAUUUAGAAAGUAUUUGAGAUGUGGUGAAAGACUUUCUGUAGGUAAAUAAAUGGAGAAGGUGGAUGUUGAACAGAAGGGUGGCUAUGUAUUUCAGUUUGUUUUCAUCUGAAAAAAAAAAUGGGCCUGGUAGCAUCAGUAGUACCAUUUUUGAAAAAUAAGCCUGAAGGAAAACUUCAAGGAAGUUGGGUGAUAAUCUUAAUGACAUAAAUGAAAAUUGGUGGAAAAUGGGUUUGUUUUUACUAAUAAUCAAGGGUCAAGUGGACAGAGAAACCAAACUGUCCAUCCUACUUUGGUCAUAAGUUCUUCAUGUCUAUCAAAAUUUUAAAAACAGGCUUCUAAUAAGUUUUAAAUGAUUUGGAAAGUUUUGAUUUAUAUCCAAUUUUUUUAGAAGCCAGUCAGAUUUCUGAUAAAUGAUAUAGUCACUGAAGGGAAUAUAAGUAUGCAUAACUAUGUAAAAUACGCAAAAACUAUGAAAAAGGUAGGAUAAACAAUAAAGACCAUGAUACUAAUUUACAACCACUAGGAACUUAAAAGCCAAAGGGGAAAUUUUUAAUUUCAUAUUCCCCCCCUCCCUUUUUUUUUUAGUAUGCUUGUUUUAUUUCAGAUUGUAUCUUUCUGGUUAAAGUCAGAGUAAGCAAAGAUAGUGGUCAAACAAUCAGGAAAUGUUAGUAAUUUUACUAAUUGUGUUUUACUUCUCUGAACCUCAGCAUGUGUCCUAUAAUAGGUGAGUUUAGAUAGGUGUGUUCAGAUAUUCCAGCCUGUGAUGCUUUGCUUUAACUAUAUCUUAGUAUCGUAGCCCGGCUUAGGGAAAGCUUAUUUUGAGAUCAUUGGGAAUCUUCAGGUUAUAAAUUAGUGAAUACUUAAGACAUAGGUAUGGGGGGGUUACAGUUAAUGUUAGAGUUAUGCUUGAAUUAAGUAUUUAUAUUAAAACUGCUCACAUUUUAGGAACUAGGAUGAAACUUGAAAGGGGAGGAGGGUGAACAGUAUGGUAAAAAACAUUUAGAGAAAUUCAGUAAAUUCUCUUUAAUUGUUAGAAACUAGAGUUUUGAACGAAUGGGGGAAAAAAUUGAACAGAAGAUUGGUCAGAUAGAAGCACUUGAAUAUUUUUUUUAAGGCUAUUUUGAAUUGUUUUGGGGAAGAAUACACGAAGUAUGAAAAAUGAAAAACUCAAUGAAGAAUGAAGAGAAGUAGAAAGCAAGAGUGAAGUAGAAUUAAAAGAAUCUGGAAGAAUGAAUGGGUCCUAGGUUAAGUAAAUGUAUGGUUUAUGUUCCAGUGUCUGUAUGAUCAAGUUGUAGAUGAAUUUGCAUGAUUACUUAGUUAAUAGAGAAUUGGUGAUCUGGUUCAAGUAGGGAAUUAUUGAGGACAGUUAGCAGUAUUAACAAUGGGUUAUUAAUGAGCUGAAAUUUUUUCUGGAGGGUGUUGCCU
rnacentral:lncRNA from 1 species